rnacentral:rRNA from 1 species
AUGAACAAAGGGUAUCUCUUCAUGAAAUGUAUGGUACUUCCAUCAUGGAGGUGCCGUCUUGCCCCUGCAGACCUAUCAUCUUGCCUGGAGGUGCGGGCUGACAAUCAUGGGGAAGAGGAGGUGAGAAACAGAGUAGAGAGUACUGCACCUACAACAGAGCACGGGAGGAUUGGGAACAGGGUAGAGAACGACGGGGAGGAGGCGAGAAAUAGAGUAGAGAGUACUACACCUACAAUAGAGUGCAGGAGGAUUGGGAGAAGGAAACGAGGAGGAAGAGGCAACGAGAAGAAGAGAGGGGGCAGGAAGAGUGGUGAGGGAUCGCUAGAGUGCGACCAUGGCCUCGCCCUCUCCGAUUGGGAAUUUCAGCCUACUUUGGCAUGCUCACACUUGCGUACUGGAGCUCGCGCUGGAGUAGAAGUAAGGCCGAUAUUGUGGACGCGGAUGGACUGCGGUGCCUCCCGCCUCAGCAGCUCUAAGUCCAUGUCAUUGGACAUCGUCGGGCUGGCGGAGAGCAUGUCCGCGGUCGAUCUGGAGGUCGUGUUCGGCUCCAUCGGCCGCGUCACCGGCUCCGAGUUCGUGCGCACUAGCGGCCGCAGCUUCGUCUACAUUGCCACUGCCCCUCCCACAAGUCUCAGUUUCUUGGAAUGGCGGUUCAAGAAGGGACAUCAUCGUGUGGCUUGCGUGACCAUAGGGCUCUUGACCAAGCCGAGCGAAUUAAUUUUCACAGCUCACUGUGAAAAGGUCUGUACACAAGUGAGUUGGGCGUGUGUGUCCUGUGGAGGCGCUGUGCACCUUCAGGGUCAAGAUGGCCAUCUACUGUCGAGCUUCGCCGCCUCACGCAGCAGGACUGACUCUGAUGACCUGUUCAGAGCAGAAAAUGUUGUCCACGAAACAUGGCCUGAAGUGAGUGAGGAGACGAAGGGCAUGACCGAUGGCACCAGCGGGAGGCGAGUGCCGGUGGAGAUAAUAGUGACGGCUACAAGUGUGUGGCUGCUCCAGUGCCGCCGCAUACUCCAGUACAGCCCAAACGUGGAUGCAGGUGGAUGUGGGCACCAUGGCCGCCACCAAGGAUGUGGGGGUCGCGCCACAACCGGCGUGGACGCGGUGGGCGCGCCGAAACUGUCAAGGACACGGGAGCCACACUGCAGCCUUAGUGUUUUCCCUAAUUUCUUUAGGUCUAAAUACUGGAUGAGAUUCUCAUUUCUGGCAUUCUUCAUGAACCUAUCAAGGAGACCAUUUCAAUACUAA